GAUGAGGCCGCGAAAAGCGUGGGGGAAGCGAACAGGAUUAGAUACCCUGGUAGUUCACGCCGUAAACGAUGAGUGUUAAGUGUUAAGAGGGGUUUCCGCCCUUUUAGUGCUGCAGCAAACGCAUUAAGCACUCCGCCUGGGGAGUACGGUCGCAAGACUGAAACUCAAAGGAAUUGACGGGGGCCCGCACAAGCGGUGGAGCAUGUGGUUUAAUUCGAAGCAACGCGAAGAACCUUUACCAGGUCUUGACAUCCUCUGACAACCCUAGAGAUAGGGCUUCCCCUUCGGGGGCAGAGUGACAGGUGGUGCAUGGUUGUCGUCAGCUCGUGUCGUGAGAUGUUUGGGUUAAGUCCCGCAACGAGCCCAACCCUUGAUCUUAGUUGCCAGCAUUCAGUUGGGCACUCUAAGGUGACUGCCGGUGACAAACCGGAGGAAGGUGGGGAUGACGUCAAAUCAUCAUGCCCCUUAUGACCUGGGCUACACACGUGCUACAAUGGGCAGAACAAAGGGCAGCGAAGCCGCGAGGCUAAGCCAAUCCCACAAAUCUGUUCUCAGUUCGGAUCGCAGUCUGCAACUCGACUGCGUGAAGCUGGAAUCGCUAGUAAUCGCGGAUCAGCAUGCCGCGGGGAAUACGUUUCCGGGCCUUGUACACACCGCCUUUCUCGGGGCAAAGUCUAUAGAGUUUAUCCCUCACAAGA
rnacentral:rRNA from 1 species